rnacentral:rRNA from 1 species
GACGAACGCUGGCGGCGUGCUUAACACAUGCAAGUCGAGCGGUAAGGCCCUUUCGGGGUACGACGAGCGGCGAACGGGUGGAGUAACACGUGGGUGGACCUCGCCCUCCAGCUCUGGGAGUAAGCCCGGGAAACCGUAGGGUCGUAAUACCGGAGUAUGACUUCAUGACGCAUGUUGUGGAGUGGAAAGCCUUGUGCGGCUGAGGAUGGGCCCGCGGCCUAUCAGCUUGUUGGUGGGGUGANGGCCUACCAAGGCGACGACGGGUAGCCGGCCUGAGAGGGCGACCGGCCACACU